GAAGGUGGAGCCGAUACGAACAUCGUGUGGCGUCCGCGCCUCGUUCUCGUUCAUCGUCGAUUUAAUUAACGCAACGCUGAAACGCGCUCGUUUCAGAGCCGCCGGCAAACGAAAUUCGAACCAUCUACCAGAAUUGGUCCAUCGUGAGAGCAAAUAGAAAGGAGGGAAGAGGGCGAGGGGGCUAGACGGUGAAGGAGAUGCAAGAGGAAAAGCUGAAACUUCCUGCGGUGCGUUCUACCGGAGGGCAAACCCGGUACGGUGCAUUAACCGGGCAUUUACGUGUAGAUUUAUAACGUUACCGAACCAACAUUUACAACUAAAUAUCCGAGAAUCCAGAGACAUAAUACCACGCACGAGGCUGCAAUCGUUCGAUCACCGUUGCUGAACAAAUCGUUCGACCGUCGGUGAGAGACGCGAGGCAAAAGCGGUGCAACCGGCUGCUAUUCACGCCAACCCGUAUCGCGAUAUCUUUGAAGCCGCCGUUACUCUCCUCGUCGCGAUAAUGACGAUAGCAUCGUGAUAAUUUUGUCGCGAGACAUCGCUAACGAUGCUGUCUCUCUCUUCCGCAAGGAAGAGAACCCGACGAAAAGAGAUCGAUAACGGUAAAACGCAAAGAUA
rnacentral:misc_RNA from 1 species